rfam:Oryza sativa Japonica Group DNA, chromosome 5, cultivar: Nipponbare, complete sequence.
AAAAAAACAAACCCUGGAUUUUCGUGUCCAACGUUUCACUAUCCGUCUUAUAUGAAAUUAUUUUAUAAUUAGUAUUUUUAUUAUUGUUAGAUGAUAAAACAUGAUUGAUACUUUAUGCUUAACUUGUCUUUUUAAUUUUUUUUAUAUUUUUUCAAAUAAGACGGACGGUCAAACAUGAGACACGGAAACCUAAGGUUUGUCUUUUU